rnacentral:rRNA from 1 species
UACGUAGGGCGCAAGCGUUGUCCGGAAUUAUUGGGCGUAAAGAGCUCGUAGGCGGUCUGUUGCGUCCGCUGUGAAAACUCGGGGCUUAACCCCGAGCCUGCAGUGGAUACGGGCAGACUAGAGGUAGGUAGGGGAGAAUGGAAUUCCCGGUGUAGCGGUGAAAUGCGUAGAGAUGUGGAGGAAUACCGAUGGCGAAGGCAGCCCCCUGGGCCAAUACUGACGCUCAUGCACGAAAGCGUGGGGAGCAAACAGG